UACGUAGGGUGCGAGCGUUGUCCGGAAUUAUUGGGCGUAAAGAGCUCGUAGGUGGCGCCGUAAGUCAGGUGUGAAAUUUCGGAGCUUAACUCCGAAACUGCAUUUGAUACUGCGGUGCUUGAGGACUGGAGAGGAGACUGGAAUUUACGGUGUAGCAGUGAAAUGCGUAGAGAUCGUAAGGAAGACCAGUGGCGAAGGCGGGUCUCUGGACAGGUCCUGACACUGAGGCACGAAGGCCAGGGGAGCAAACGGG
rnacentral:rRNA from 1 species